rnacentral:rRNA from 1 species
AUACGGAGGAUGCAAGCGUUAUCCGGAUUUAUUGGGUUUAAAGGGUGCGUAGGCUGACGUGUAAGUCAGAGGUGAAAUCUCCGGGCUCAACCUGGGAACUGCCUUUGAUACUGCAUGUCUGGAGUUCGGAUGCCGUGGGAGGAAUGGGCAGUGUAGCGGUGAAAUGCAUAGAUAUUGCCCAGAACACCGAUUGCGAAGGCAUCUCACGAACCCGACACUGACGCUGAGGCACGAAAGCGUGGGGAUCAAACAGGAUUAGAUACCCUGGUAGUCCACGCAGUAAACGAUGAUAACUAACCGUCGGCGAUAGACAGUCGGUGGCCAAGCGAAAGCGAUAAGUUAUCCACCUGGGGAGUACGUUCGCAAGAAUGAAACUCAAAGGAAUUGACGGGG